AUUGAACGCUGGCGGCAGGCCCAACACAUGCAAGUCGAGCGGAUGAAGGGAGCUUGCUCCUGGAUUCAGCGGCGGACGGGUGAGUAAUGCCUAGGAAUCUGCCUGGUAGUGGGGGAUAACGUCCGGAAACGGGCGCUAAUACCGCAUACGUCCUGAGGGAGAAAGUGGGGGAUCUUCGGACCUCACGCUAUCAGAUGAGCCUAGGUCGGAUUAGCUAGUUGGUGGGGUAAAGGCCUACCAAGGCGACGAUCCGUAACUGGUCUGAGAGGAUGAUCAGUCACACUGGAACUGAGACACGGUCCAGACUCCUACGGGAGGCAGCAGUGGGGAAUAUUGGACAAAGGGCGAAAGCCUGAUCCAGCCAUGCCGCGUGUGUGAAGAAGGUCUUCGGAUUGUAAAGCACUUUAAGUUGGGAGGAAGGGCAGUAAGUUAAUACCUUGCUGUUUUGACGUUACCAACAGAAUAAGCACCGGCUAACUUCGUG
rnacentral:rRNA from 1 species